rnacentral:lncRNA from 1 species
AGACUAUUAAGAACCCGCUUAGUAAUUCUUUGCGUAAAAUCACAUUCUAGCCAGCAUUAUACAAGUGUGAUGCACGGCCUUGUAAACUUACGGCUCAGACUAAAUGCACAUUUACCUAGUCUGCAGUAAGAGAUAAAUUUAGUUUCAAAAUCUGGAAACUUGUCUGGUGGCACGUCCCAAAAUAAUCCCUAGACGUGGCUGACACCCGCUACACCACCUGGCGGAAGUACCAAUCUUCCUUACGCUUUACCGGUUAAUAAUCAUUACAAUAAGGUACGUGCAAUUCCAAAGCAUCAAUAAAUAACGAAUAAGCCAUAUAAAGCCCUAUUCUAUGUGCAAUUCCAUGGGCCACGGGCUUACCGGGCCGAGCUAAAAAGCCCUAUUCUUAAAUGGGCGGCAAAAAUUGAAACCCAACUCUAUCAAAUUACAAGUCAAGUCGGGCCGGCCCAACGGACCUGGCUCAUAUUGACGGCUCUACAAACAGUAGAGAACACAAAUGUUCACUCUAUAGAGAAUAACAGAAGAAAGGUGUCGUUGGGAAAACUUUCUGCUAGCCCAAGAUCAUUAACUAAAAUCGGAAAAUUCAACUAUAGAAAAGGAAGCUAUGAAAGAAGAGGCUUUAUUAUGGACUUCUUGAAUUGAA